rnacentral:rRNA from 1 species
UGGGGAAUCUUGGUCAAUGGGCGCAAGCCUGAACCAGCGACGCCGCGUGAGUGAUGAAGGCCUUCGGGUUGUAAAGCUCUGUGGGGAGGGACGAAAAACUGGAGUCGAAUAGGCUACCAGGUUGACGGUACCUCCUUAGCAAGCACCGGCUAACUCUGUGCCAGCAGCCGCGGUAAGACAGAGGGUGCAAACGUUGCUCGGAAUCACUGGGCGUAAAGGGCGUGUAGGCGGGCGGAUAAGUCGGGCGUGAAAUCCCUGGGCUCAACCCAGGAACUGCGCUCGAAACUGUCCACCUUGAGUACCGGAGAGGAAGGUGGAAUUCCUGGUGUAGAGGUGAAAUUCGUAGAUAUCAGGAGGAACACCAGUGGCGAAGGCGGCCUUCUGGACGGUAACUGACGCUGAGACGCGAAAGCGUGGGGAGCAAACAGG